AGGACGAACGCUGGCGGCGUGCCUAACACAUGCAAGUCGAACGAGGUCCAACCGGUGGCAACACUGGUGAAGACCGAGUGGCGAACGGGUGAGUAACACGUGAGCAACCUGCCUCGAAGACUGGGAUAACCCCGGGAAACCGGAGCUAAUACCGGAUACCCCCACCGGGUCGCAUGGCCUGGUGAGGAAAUGGAUUCCGCUUUGAGAGGGGCUCGCGGCCUAUCAGCUUGAUGGUGGGGUAACGGCCUACCAUGGCACCGACGGGUAGCUGGUCUGAGAGGACGAUCAGCCACACUGGGACUGAGACACGGCCCAGACUCCUACGGGAGGCAGCAGUGGGGAAUCUUGCGCAAUGGGCGAAAGCCUGACGCAGCAACGCCGCGUGUGGGACGAAGGCCUUCUGGGUUGUAAACCACUUUCAGCAGGGACGAUUGUGACGGUACCUGCAGAAGAAGCCCCGGCAACUACGUGCCAGCAGCCGCGGU
rnacentral:rRNA from 1 species